GACGAACGCUGGCGGCGUGCUUAACACAUGCAAGUCGAACGGAAAGGCCCUGCUUUUGUGGGGUGCUCGAGUGGCGAACGGGUGUGUAACACGGGAGUAACCUGCCCUUGACUUUGGGAUAACUUCAGGAAACCGGGGCUAAUACCGGAUAGGAGCUCCUGCUGCAUGGUGGGGGUUGGAAAGUUUCGGCGGUUGGGGAUGGACUCGCGGCUUAUCAGCUUGUUGGUGGGGUAGUGGCUUACCAAGGCUUUGACGGGUAGCCGGCCUGAGAGGGUGACCGGCCACAAUGGGACUGAGAUACGGCGCAGACUCCUACGGGAGGCAGCAGUGGGGAAUAUUGCACAAUGGGCGGAAGCCUGAUGCAGCAACGCCGCGUGCGGGAUGACGGCCUUCGGGUUGUAAACCGCUUUCGCCUGUGACGAAGCGUGAGUGACGGUAAUAGGUAAAGAAGCACCGGCUAACUACGUG
rnacentral:rRNA from 1 species